AUACGGAGGGUGCAAGCGUUAUCCGGAUUCAUUGGGUUUAAAGGGUUCGCAGGCGGCGUAUUAAGUCAGUGGAGAAAUCCCGAGGCUCAACCUCGGAACUGCCAUUGAUACUGGUAUGCUAGAGUAUAGUUGGCGUUGGCGGAAUGUAUCAUGUAGCGGUGAAAUGCUUAGAUAUGAUACAGAACACCGAUCGCGAAGGCAGCUAACGAAACUAUAACUGACGCUCAGGAACGAAAGCGUGGGGAGCGAACAGGAGUAGAAACCCCAGUAGUCC
rnacentral:rRNA from 1 species